UGCUCGCCAAGGUUUCUUAAUAGUGUAAUUCUCUAGAAAUGACCUAUCAAGUAUGACGAUGCUUGUUGCUCAUGAUCUGCAUUUUAUUCUGCUUCUGUUCUUCCUUUCCUGACACAGGUCUGGGCAACUGAGACCACAGUGAUACUUAGUGGUCAGGCUGCAAUUUUGGCUAGCUUAGUGAGACACCAUUCUUCUUCAACAACUGUGGUGACUCUGUGGUAUGCAUGAUGAAAAAGUAAAGAAAUGGAAAGACACGAUAGAAAUUUUCAUGCAAAGUUAAUACGUG
rnacentral:lncRNA from 1 species